GACGCAGCAACGCCGCGUGCGGGAUGAAGGCCUUCGUGGUUGUAAACCGCUUUCAGCAGGGACGAAAAUGACGGUACCUGCAGAAGAAGCCCCGGCUAACUACGUGCCAGCAGCCGCGGUAAUACGUAGGGGGCAAGCGUUGUCCGGAAUCAUUGGGCGUAAAGAGCUCGUAGGCGGUUCAGUAAGUCAGGUGUGAAAGCUCCGAGCUCAACUCGGAGAGGCCACCUGAUACUGCUGUGACUAGAAUCCAGUAGGGGAGUGUGGAACUCCUGGUGUAGCGGUGAAAUGCGCAGAUAUCAGGAAGAACACCAGCGGCGAAGGCGGCACUCUGGGCUGGAAUUGACGCUGAGGAGCGAAAGUGUGGGUAGCAAACAGGAUUAGAUACCCUGGUAGUCCACACCGUAAACGUUGGGCACUAGGUGUGGGGAGGAUCAACCCUUUCCGUGCCGUAGCUAACGCAUUAAGUGCCCCGCCUGGGGAGUACGGCCGCAAGGCUAAAACUCAAAGGAAUUGACGGGGCCCGCACAAGCGGCGGAGCAUGUUGCUUAAUUCGAGGCAACGCGAAGAACCUUACCUAGGUUGAACUACGCAGGAAAAGCUACAGAGAUGUGGUGUCCUUCGGGGCCUGCGAUAGGUGGUGCAUGGCUGUCGUCAGCUCGUGUCGUGAGAUGUUGGGUUAAGCCCCGCAACGAGCGCAACCCUUAUCCUAUGUUGCCAGCGCGUAAUGGCGGGGACUCGUGGGAGACUGCCGGGGUCAACUCGGAGGAAGGU
rnacentral:rRNA from 1 species